rnacentral:misc_RNA from 1 species
GGGAAAUUUGUUUGGCAAAAGCCUCACCCUUGCAAUAUUUUUUCCCCCCCAGGGUGGAGCACCUGCCAUAUUGUAUCCACUGGCUGCGAGCAUGGCGAUUGUAUUGUAUCAAAGAAAGCAACUUACCAGAAGCAAAAAUGGACAAAUCUAGCACAGACAACCCAGUUAAACUAUCUGGCAGCUUCAUUUCUUUGAACACUUCGUUGCUCAUAUCGAACAACACUAAGCUCAAAUUGCGAAAAUCGCUAUCU